CGAGAAACCUUUGCAAUGUGCGCAAGCACGACAAGGUUAAUCCGAGUGAUUCCUGCUAAAGGAAUCUUUUGUUAGUUGUAAAACCACUGAUGAAUAAGGGGUGGGCAAGUUCUGGUGUCAGCCGCCGCGGUAAAACCAGCACCUCAAGUGGUCAGGAGGAUUAUUGGGCCUAAAGCAUCCGUAGCCUGUCCUGUAAGUUUCCGGUUAAAUCCAUAUGCUCAACAUAUGGGCUGCCGGGAAUACUGCACAGCUAGGGAGUGGGAGAGGUAGACGGUACUCGGUAGGAAGGGGUAAAAUCCUUUGAUCUAUUGAUGACCACCUGUGGCGGAAGGCGGUCUACCAGAACACGUCCGACGGUGAGGGGAUGAAAGCUGGGGGAGCAAACCGGAUUAGAUACCCGGGUAGUCCCAGCUGUAACUAUGCAAAACUCGGUGAUGCAUUGGCUUGUAGCCAGUGCAGUGCCGC
rnacentral:rRNA from 2 species